rnacentral:rRNA from 1 species
UAGGGAAUCUUCCACAAUGGACGAAAGUCUGAUGGAGCAACGCCGCGUGAGUGAAGAAGGGUUUCGGCUCGUAAAACUCUGUCGUUAAAGAAGAACAUAUCUGAGAGUAACUGUUCAGGUAUUGACGGUAUUUAACCAGAAAGCCACGGCUAACUACGUGGCAG